GUGCUCUCUUUGGCAGCAUAUAUACAAAAAGUGGAACAAUACAAAGAAGAUUAGCACGGCCCCUCUGCAAGGAUUACAUUCUGAUUCUUGAAGCAUUCCAUAUUUUU